ACGGGGUGCAGCAGGCGCGAAACCUUUUCAAUGCGCGCAAGCGUGAGAAGGGAAUUCCAAGUGCUCAAGUUUUACUUGGGCUUUUGCCAAGUGUAAAAGCUUGGCGAAUAAGGGGUGGGAAAGACUGGUGCCAGCCGCCGCGGUAACACCAGCGCCUCGAGUGGGGAUCACGAUUAUUGGGUCUAAAGCGUCCGUAGCAGGCUUUGUAAAUGCUUUGUGAAAUCGGCAGGCUUAACCUGUCGGCGUGCAGAGUAGACUGCAGAGCUCGAGACCGGGAGAGGUUAGAAGUAUUCCUAGGGUACCGGUAAAAUGGGUUAAUCCUAGGAGGACUACCUAUGGCGAAGGCAUCUAACCAGAACGGUUCUGACUGUGAGGGACGAAAGCUAGGGGAGCAAAACGGAUUAGAUACCCGAGUAGUCCUAGCCGUAAACGCUGUGAGCAAGGUAUUGCACUUCCCACGAGGACGUGCAGUGUCGAAACGAAGGUGUUAAGCUCACCACCAGGGAAGUACGGUCGCAAGGCUGAAACUUUAAGGAAUUGGCGGGGGAGCAC
rnacentral:rRNA from 1 species